UCCCUGGUCGCUCAGAUGGUAAAGUGUCUGUCUGCAAUGCAGGAGAUCUGGGUUCGACUCCUGGGUUGGGAA
rnacentral:tRNA from 1 species